rnacentral:rRNA from 1 species
UACGGAGGGGACUAGCGUUGUUCGGAAUUACUGGGCGUAAAGCGCACGUAGGCGGAUUUGUAAGUCAGGGGUGAAAUCCCGGGGCUCAACCCCGGAACUGCCUUUGAUACUGCGAAUCUCGAGUCCGGAAGAGGUGAGUGGAAUUCCUAGUGUAGAGGUGAAAUUCGUAGAUAUUAGGAAGAACACCAGUGGCGAAGGCGGCUCACUGGCCCGGUACUGACGCUGAGGUGCGAAAGCGUGGGAGCAACAGG